GCGAGUAUAGGUUAAUGGUAGACUCUCUUCCUUCCAAGUAGAUUAUGCUGGUUCAAAUCCAGCUACUCGUA
rnacentral:tRNA from 1 species